UACGUAGGGGGCAAGCGUUGUCCGGAAUCAUUGGGCGUAAAGGGCGCGUAGGUGGCCUGAUAAGGGUGUGGUGAAAGUCCGGGGGCUCAACCCCCGGAUCUGCCGUGCCGACUGUUGGGCUGGAGUACUGUAGGGGCAGGCGGAAUUCCGGGUGUAGCGGUGGAAUGCGUAGAGAUCCGGAGGAAGACCGGUGGCGAAGGCGGCCUGCUGGGCAGUUACUGACACUGAGGCGCGACAGCGUGGGGAGCAAACAGG
rnacentral:rRNA from 1 species